rnacentral:rRNA from 1 species
GUAGGGAAUAUUGGGCAAUGGAUGCAAGUCUGACCCAGCCAUGCCGCGUGGAGGAAGAAGGUCCUCUGGAUUGUAAACUCCUUUUUUGGGGGAAGAAUAGUUCUCUUGCGAGGGAAUGUGACGGUACCCUAAGAAUAAGCCACGGCUAACUACGUGCCAGCAGCCGCGGUAAUACGUAGGUGGCAAGCGUUGUCCGGAUUUAUUGGGUUUAAAGGGUGCGUAGGUGGUUUGAUAAGUCAGUGGUGAAAGCCGGUUGCUCAACAAUCGAGUUGCCAUUGAUACUGUCGGACUUGAGAGAAGUGGAGGUUCAUGGAAUGGAUGGUGUAGCGGUGAAAUGCAUAGAUAUCAUCCAGAACGUCGAUUGCGAAGGCAGUGGGCUGUACUUUAUCUGACACUGAGGCACGAAAGUGUGGGGAUCAAACAGGAUUAGAAACCCUUGUAGUCC